rnacentral:rRNA from 1 species
UACGAAGGGGGCUAGCGUUGCUCGGAAUCACUGGGCGUAAAGGGCGCGUAGGCGGCCGAUUAAGUCGGGGGUGAAAGCCUGUGGCUCAACCACAGAAUUGCCUCGAUACUGGUUGGCUUGAGACCGGAAGAGGACAGCGGAACUGCGAGUGUAGAGGUGAAAUUCGUAGAUAUUCGCAAGAACACCAGUGGCGAAGGCGGCUCACUGGCCCGAUACUGACGCUGAGGCACGAAAAGCGUGGGGGAGCAAACAGGG